rnacentral:tRNA from 1 species
GCCAAGAUAGCUCAGUUGGUAGAGCGCAGCACUGAAAAUGCUGAUGUCGCCGGUUCGAACCCGGCUCUUGGCACCA